rnacentral:rRNA from 1 species
GUCGAACGGAAAGGCCCUUCGGGGUACUCGAGUGGCGAACGGGUGAGUAACACGUGGGUGAUCUGCCCUGCACUUUGGGAUAAGCCUGGGAAACUGGGUCUAAUACCGAAUAUGACCAUGCACUUCCUGGUGUGUGGUGGAAAGCUUUUGCGGUGUGGGAUGGGCCCGCGGCCUAUCAGCUUGUUGGUGGGGUAAUGGCCUACCAAGGCGACGACGGGUAGCCGGCCUGAGAGGGUGACCGGCCACACUGGGACUGAGAUACGGCCCAGACUCCUACGGGAGGCAGCAGUGGGGAAUAUUGCACAAUGGGCGCAAGCCUGAUGCAGCGACGCCGCGUGAGGGAUGACGGCCUUCGGGUUGUAAACCUCUUUCAAUAGGGACGAAGCGCAAGUGACGGUACCUAUAGAAGAAGGACCGGCCAACUACGUGCCAGCAGCCGCGGUAAUACGUAGGGUCCGAGCGUUGUCCGGAAUUACUGGGCGUAAAGAGCUCGUAGGUGGUUUGUCGCGUUGUUCGUGAAAACUCACAGCUUAACUGUGGGCGUGCGGGCGAUACGGGCAGACUAGAGUACUGCAGGGGAGACUGGAAUUCCUGGUGUAGCGGUGGAAUGCGCAGAUAUCAGGAGGAACACCGGUGGCGAAGGCGGGUCUCUGGGCAGUAACUGACGCUGAGGAGCGAAAGCGUGGGGAGCGAACAGGAUUAGAUACCCUGGUAGUCCACGCCGUAAACGGUGGGUACUAGGUGUGGGUUUCCUUCCUUGGGAUCCGUGCCGUAGCUAACGCAUUAAGUACCCCGCCUGGGGAGUACGGCCGCAAGGCUAAAACUCAAAGAAAUUGACGGGGGCCCGCACAAGCGGCGGAGCAUGUGGAUUAAUUCGAUGCAACGCGAAGAACCUUACCUGGGUUUGACAUGCACAGGACGCCGGCAGAGAUGUCGGUUCCCUUGUGGCCUGUGUGCAGGUGGUGCAUGGCUGUCGUCAGCUCGUGUCGUGAGAUGUUGGGUUAAGUCCCGCAACGAGCGCAACCCUUGUCUCAUGUUGCCAGCACGUAAUGGUGGGGACUCGUGAGAGACUGCCGGG